UACAGAGGGUGCGAGCGUUGUCCGGAAUCACUGGGCGUAAAGGGCGCGUAGGCGGCUUGAUAAGCGUGCGGUGAAAGCCCGGGGCUCAACCCCGGGUCGGCCGUGCGAACUGUCGAGCUGGAGCACUGUAGAGGCAGGUGGAAUUCCGGGUGUAGCGUGGAAUGCGUAGAGAUCCGGAAGAACACCGGUGGCGAAGGCGGCCU
rnacentral:rRNA from 1 species